rnacentral:rRNA from 1 species
GUCCAAGCGUUGUCCGGAAUCACUGGGUGUAAAGGGUGUGCAGGCGGAUUGUCAAGUCAGUGGUGAAAGCCCGCAGCUCAACUGCGGAUGUGCCAUUGAAACUGGCAAUCUUGAGUCCCGGAGGGGUUAUCGGAAUUCGUGGUGUAGCGGUGAAAUGCGUAGAUAUCACGAGGAACACCAGAAGCGUAAGCGGAUAACCGGACGGUGACUGACGCUCAGGUGCGAAAGCGUGGGGAGCAAACAGGAUUAGAUACCCUGGUAGUCCACGCCGUAAACGAUGUCGACUUGGAGGUUGUGCCCUUGAGGCGUGGCUUCCGGAGCUAACGCGUUAAGUCGACCGCCUGGGGAGUACGGCCGCAAGGUUAAAACUCAAAUGAAUUGACGGGGGCCCGCACAAGCGGUGGAGCAUGUGGUUUAAUUCGAUGCAACGCGAAGAACCUUACCUACUCUUGACAUCCAGAGAACUUAGCAGAGAUGCUUUGGUGCCUUCGGGAACUCUGAGACAGGUGCUGCAUGGCUGUCGUCAGCUCGUGUUGUGAAAUGUUGGGUUAAGUCCCGCAACGAGCGCAACCCUUAUCCUUUGUUGCCAGCGGUUAGGCCGGGAACUCAAAGGAGACUGCCAGUGAUAAGCUGGAGGAAGGUGGGGAUGACGUCAAGUCCUCAUGGCCCUUACGGGUUGGGCUACACACGUGCUAC